GACGAACGCUGGCGGCGUGCUUAACACAUGCAAGUCGAACGGAAAGGCCCUGCUUUUGUGGGGUGCUCGAGUGGCGAACGGGUGAGUAACACGUGAGUAACCUGCCCUUGACUUUGGGAUAACUUCAGGAAACUGGGGCUAAUACCGGAUAGGAGCUCCUGCUGCAUGGUGGGGGUUGGUAAGUUUCGGCGGUUGGGGAUGGACUCGCGGCUUAUCAGCUUGUUGGUGGGGUAGUGGCUUACCAAGGCUUUGACGGGUAGCCGGCCUGAGAGGGUGACCGGCCACAUUGGGACUGAGAUACGGACCAGACUCCUACGGGAGGCAGCAGUGGGGAAUAUUGCACAAUGGGCGGAAGCCUGAUGCAGCAACGCCGCGUGCGGGAUGACGGCCUUCGGGUUGUAAACCGCUUUCGCCUGUGACGAAGCGUGAGUGACGGUAAUGGGUAAAGAAGCACCGGCUAACUACGUG
rnacentral:rRNA from 1 species